rnacentral:lncRNA from 1 species
CUCUACGACACCCGUCACUUGCCUAGCCGCGAGCGUGGAUUUCCUGGCGGUCUAAGUGUUAAACACAAAACCUCAUCUUCGCAAAUCUUCCUAAAUUCUCCCACAUUCCUUUUUGCGGGGGGAGAGGAUGGAGGGAGCCUCCCUACAUCAAUUCUCCUGUCUUUUCUCACAGCAUGCGCGCUGUCAAAACACAGACCCGUGCGAGCAGUGGAGGGGGAGCCCUUUCUCCUGCCUGGCCCCAACAGUCCCACUGCCUGGAGGAACCCGUGUGAACACCUUUUUCUACGUGUUCAGAAAUAUGUCGACAGACGUCAUCAUAAUUAGCCAUUUUUACUGGAGAAGUCCUGCGUGCACAUGGCUCGCGGCGUGCCGAGGCCAAGUCCGUUUCUAUGCUCUGCACCUUCAGGCAGUGGCUCGAGGAGGCGAAACGGCAGGAGCCCACUGGGUGACAUUCCAGCAACCAACCAACAACUUUGUCCAGACCUCCUCGUCUUCAAAUAUGAAUAGACAACCAAGAAACAUGGACAAUAUAAGGAGUUCCCGUGCACUGAAAGAGAGACAUGGAACUCAACAAACAGAAGAACCAACACAGGAGGUAGGUGAGCUAACACAGGAAGCAGAAGAAAAGGCAACAUAACUGUAGCUUACAUUUCCAGAGACAUUGGAGAGGAUAUCUAUUUUUAAAAAGACAGGCUAGUGGGAAAAGGAAACAUGCUCCGUUCUGAAAAUUGCACACAUGACUGACAAAUUCUAAGCACAUUAAUUAGUGGGUUGAAUAAUGAGUGGUACACUGACCUGGAAGUUCAUGACAAGGGGGUGUCUCAGAACGCGGAGCAAAAGGACAGAGAGAUGAAAAACAUGAACAAAAAGUUACACGAUAUGGAAGUUAGAUUGAAGGUUUUCAACAUCUGCCUAAAUUGGAGAAAACAUUGAACAAAAGGGUUCAAAUAAUAGAACAAUAAGAAAAUAUCUCUGAGCUGAAGAAGACUGAAUGUUUAGACUGUGAGUCCCAAUGAUUGCUGAAUAGGAAUAAUGAAAAAUUAGCUGGGCACUCUGCUGGCUCCUGCAGAUGUGAAGAUGACUAAAACAGGCCGGACCCCGACCUCACAGAGCGCAGCCUAAGGCAAGAACACAGAGGAGUGCAGCCGUUAAGAGCACGGGCUCUGGAACCAGACUGCCCAGGUUUGAAUCCGGUUCUACCUCUCACUAGCUCAGUAAUCUUGGGCAGGUCACUGCCCUCUGUGCCUCUCUGUGCCUCAGUUUCCUCCCAUGUCAAAUGCAUAAUAGAAUUCCUACCUCGUAGGUUGUUUUGUGGGUGUAAGUAAAGCACAAGUGAAGGUAAGCACUAUGUAAGUAUUCGCUAACCACAGAAAGAUGGUGACAUGCUAAACAGCGGGGAUAAGGGAAUGUAAAAGAGGUGCCUGGCCCUCCCGAAGGGGUCCAGGAGCUGCCCGGCCAGGCCUCAGCAAGACCUCGCCAUGAGAAGCUUCCAGAACCCGGCUCACUGGAGUAAGUGCAGACGCCGCUUCCAUGAGACCCAGCCUUCGCUGUCUGCCCGGCGCACGGGAGGCAUGUUAGGCUGCUGCCCGGGGUCCAUGGCUUGUCACUCCCUGUUCGGGUGAUGCUGACGAGGACUGCAGUGUCCCCAGUGCCUAAAGGAAGCUGCCCCAGCACACCAGAUAUUUCACAUUUUAUUAGCUGCCUGGGCUCAUCUGCAACCUGAUUUCUCUCCAGCACGUCACCCUUCUGCAGCCCCCAGGGCCGGGGGCCAGGCCGAUCUGAGGGCAGGGAGAGCCCGGCGGAUGCGGGGGCUGGGGUGGGGGGCUGCUCUGUCCUGGGAGGGCGCAGGGGAGGUGGCCAUGGGAUGGGCUGGCACUAGGCUGCAAGUGUGCUCCCUCCCUGGGACUGGCCCCCAGGGACGUGGGUGGGGGAAGUGCCACCUCGGGGUGGGCAUCCGGAGGUGGGGUGGUUUGAAUCUAGGUGUCCAGGUGGCCCCGGGAGGACAAAAAUGGGCUCACUUGAUGCAUUUCUUCAUCUCCUGGAGGGUUUUGCUUCCUCACUUCCUCCCGCUGCUGGAAGGAUGAACACAAAAAGCAAAUGCUCCUCUUGAGGGGUUGGGCAUGUGGUCAGGGGACUUGCAGCACAGGGCCAGGUGGCCUGUGAACCCAAGUGCCAGGCGAGUCCCAUCACACAUGGAGACCUGACGCCUGAGCUCACUGAGGCCUUGGGCCACCGGCCGCAGCCCCAGACAGGGCUCCCCGAGGAGUGGGCGCCUCCUGCCGCCCCCAGCGCCGGGCAGCUGGGAGCCUGGAGCCUCUCAAGAGACUGAGGACAGGACAUCCCAUCCCAGAGGGACUCUGGCACCUCUGGGCUGUCUCUGCGGCCACCAGGGAGCCCCUCCCCUGCAUGUGUCACCAGGCCUUGUCCCUGUGCUUCCCGUCAUCAGCCCCUCUCCCCUAGGGCCUCACUCACCGUCCUCUGCAUCUGGGUGUGUCAGGCAGGAGGGCACAGCUCAGGCUGGCAGCGAGGGAGUGGCGCGGUCGAGGGGAGGGAGGUGACGUGCUCUCCAGGGAUCCUCAGACCUUCAGAACUGCGGGUGGCUCCCGGCCAGCGUGCAUCUGGCCACUCCCCCGGCGUCCCGAGAGGAGAGUGGGAACAUCCUCCAACCGCGCCGGCCUGGCAGGGGCCUGGCAGCGCUGCUUCACGCCCCGGUGGCCAGCACCCCCCAGUCUGCCCUGGAAGGACAAUGACAACCACCUGUGCUGCCAACCUCCUCACACCUGGGGACACCAGCCAAGGGAGCGGCCCCCUCGCCUCAGGGCGGGACUCCCACGCCAAGGCCCCUGCGUCUCCCUCAGUCCCCAGGCAGCAGGGCCCAGGCCGGUGCUGCAGCCCCCGGCACCUCGGCACAGGUGCGUCCUACGGCAUCGCACAGGACGAAGACCCCAGGAAAGGCCUGCGUUCCUGCCCAGGGCACACGGUGAGAAAAGCGCUGCGCUCACCUUGCACCGCUGAGCGGGGUGGGGGUGGCUGAGCAGCUGCGACCGCAGUGGAAGCUCCUGCACAGACCCGGAGCCAGCCAGGCGGGUUCGAACCCCGGCUCUGUCACUCGUGGGCUGGGUGGCCUCAGAGAGUUUAGCUAACCUCACUGUGCCUCAGUUUCCUCAUCUGUAAAACGGGAAUGUGGACCAAUCUCAUAAAGCGUGAGGAUGAAAUGAGAUGGUGUCAGAAAGCACUCGGGGGCCGGGCGCGGUGGCUCACGCCUGUAAUCCUAGCACUAUGGGAGGCCGAGGCGGGCGGAUUGCUCGAGGUCAGGAGUUUAAAACCAGCCUGAGCAAGAGCGAGACCCCGUCUCUACUAUAAAUAGAAAGAAAUUAAUUGGCCAACUAAUAUGUAUAGAAAUUAGCCGGGCAUGGUGGCACAUGCCUGUAGUCCCAGCUACUUGGGAGGCUGAGGCAGGAGGAUCGCUUGAGCCAGGAGUUUGAGGUUGCUGUGAGCUAGGCUGACGCCACGGCACUCACUCUAGGCCUUGGCAACAGAGUGAGACCCUGUCUCAAAAAAAAAAAAAAAAAAAAGAAAGCACUCGGAACCGUGCCUGGCCACAAAGCAAGCGCCAUGGAUGUACCUAAUUAACGCACGCUCCAAGUCUGCGAAAC